CAGAGAGCCUGUCGGGGGCUGGCGUGUGGCUCCCGAGCUGCUGGACCGCGAGGAAUCCAAAGAUCACGGCAGAAACGGCAAGCGGGACCCUCACACGCGAUGUGGGCGGACCGAUGACCUGCCGCACCGUCACCUCAGCCCUCCCAGUCCUUCACAUCAGCUUCAAAUAAAGCGAGCGCAGAUGGUCCACAUCUGCCAAUCAACAACGACCAUUCCUGCUGGAGUCCAGUGGAGACACACAGUAGUCCUGGUAGUCCAGCUGUCCUGCAGGAAGUUCUGCAGUGGGAAUCUUGUCUAUGGAAACUUAGCUGGCUACUUUGAAAGGUAAGCAUUUGGUUCCAUUUGAGUCCUUUCUGAUUUGAUGUCCUUGACAUCAAUUGUACUAUUUUUGCUCUAAUAUACUUUGAACUCCUGCCUGACUAUUCUCAAGUUAAUUACUAAUUAGAGUGAGCCCCCCAGUAAAAGCUCUGAAAUAAUUACAAAAAAUGCUAUUCCUUUAUUUGUUAUUAUUUUUUCCAGUUUUAUCAUUUAUACCCUGCCAUGGUGUCUAAUGAUCCAGACAUAUCCUUUCUGGUGUCCUAAAACAUGCGCAUGAAAAAAAAAUGUGGACCAAUAAACGUAACAUUCAAAUGUCUUGUAAGAGCAGAACCCAGAAAAAUCACCUUGGGACUGUGUGCAGUUCUUGAGAGGGUGCGCUGGGCUCCUUUGGAAUUAAUUAUGCCUCGGGGGUGGGGUCCGCCUCAUUCUGGCUCUGUCAGACUGGCAUAUUGUGAUGGGCUCAGUGCUGCAGAGAACUGACUUUGACGUGCCUGUGGGGGUGACUGAGCACAGCCGGCACUCUGGGAAAUAAAUGCCGCUAAAUUAAAUGUCCAAAGUUAUUGAUCGUAAACCGGAGCGCAGUGUUUUUGUGUGCCAUUUUCAAACGUCCUGUGGAUCUUUUUUUUUUUUUACAUUGCUCACAAUUUUCCCGUUCUUGAAAAACGUCUUUAUCUGCAGAAUAAUGACUUCUUAACACUGACUGCUUGUUGUAUGCAGUGCCUGUGAAAGGCAUUUCCUGUUCUGGUUAAAGUAAAUGAACCAAGAAAAAAAAAAACCCAACUGUAACAAAAAAAAAAGGAAAUGUAAUGCAGACAUUAUUGAUUUCUCAGGUAAAAUGUAAUGUUUAUGUAGGAAGAUUAAUACUGUAAUUAUGAGAACCUCUGUGUCAGGAAGAUUUCCUGCUUUUAAAGCCUGAAGUCCUGUAACACAUUGCCUUCUAUUGGUCCUGUAUGAAUUCUGGGGAUUUGCCAUCAAGAAAUAUUGCAGCACAGAACAAGGGAGUCGGUGAACACAGGAGUCCCUGAAUAUUUCAUGAGAAGGAUCUUCUGAGACAAAUACUGAAAGGAAAAAUGUGGCACAAAUGUGAGCAGACGGCAGAAGAUUUCAUCCAGAGAAAACAUGAACGCUCUGCACAGAGGGGUCACGACGUGGGCCUCUGCCAUAACAGAAGCAGUGUGUCUGCCAGAUGGAGAUGGAGGACCGGUCUGGAGUGCCACGGCGAAUCAGGGGAGCUCGUCCAAGAACCGGGCCCCACCGGAGACAAGCCCGGGGGACAGGCCCGAUGAAGUUCAGUGCCUGGGUGUACGGGUGUUUUGCCAUCGCUCGAGCCUCGCUGUGCUGCGGCGACCGGGAUGUGAGCAGAUGUCCGCUGAGACCAGGUAGAGACCUCUGGAUCCCGGGCCCACUCUGCAGGGCCCUGGCCGCUUGGCACAUCGCCCUGGAGGUGUUCAGCGAGAGAGAAAUGGAGAGACGUCAAGCCCUCACGCAUGGCCGCAGUUCCCGCAGGGACCCUAGAGUGCCAUUUCGGAAAAUGGCAGGAUGUAGUAAACACUGGAUGUUGACAAUGACAUCAGUACACCAUUCAUAAUGUAUGACUAGGACUGCCCUCCUUCUGUUAUCUUACCAUCCUUUCUGGAGUGUUCAUGGGCUAUAACCCACUUAACUUAGUUUAAGGCAUUACCUUACAUCUUUAAACAAUUCAACUAGGUUUCACUACCUUUCUGAACAUGCAACAAAAAAACCUACAAAUCUUAUGAAUCCAUUUUGAGAGCAAAAGUGUCAAAAUUUCAAUGUUAUGACACAGUGUUAUGUAAGCGCUUGGAUGAUUGACAGAUUGAGGUUUUUGCUUUUAGCCAACAACUUCCAAAGACAUGUUACCUUUCUUUCGCAUGUUUGUAUGCCAGCUCUUAUCGAAUAUGACACUCUCACGGGUCCUGCUGACAAAUGCUAUGUUUUUUGAGAAGGUGGAAUGCCCCAAACUUCUGGGAAUGGUUCUGUUCAUCUUCUCAGAACCUUGCCGCAAUGCAUGCUGGUAAUCUACACCAAGAAAUCACCUUGGUGUUGACAGUGAAAAGCAAACUUCCAAAUGAUCAAAUGAAACAAUCUAGGCCACACCUGUCAUGCAAUUCAUUGAUCUUGACAUCCAUUACAAGAUAUUGCUGGAAGAGGUGAAAUCAAAUACAAUUUAUUUAUUUUUUUGUUGCGAAGGCAACUCCUUUGUAUGCUUAUAAAAAUGUAACCUUUCCAAGUAUUUUUCUCAUUGCAGUUAUUUCAAAUUUGCUUUUAGUGAUGUUGUUUACAUGGAUCCCUUCAUAAUAUUGUAGGCAUUCUUAAACCUGUGACUUCAGUAAAACAUUUAAUAGAAAAAAGAGAAAAACAAAACAUUUAUAGUAAAUAAAUAUGUUCCUAAAAUCUCAUCACUUUUUCUGUUUAACAAUAGUGCAUUUCUCAAUUUCCAGAUUCACAACACUGUCUGGUGAGAUGUGUCUGAAUCACUAAUACAAAAAGGUGUAAAGCAUUCCAAAUAAAACCACAGUUGUGAUUUUAAGUGCCAAACUAGAUGCAAAAUAGAUGCGCUGUUAACAUGAUGUCAACAUUAGGCAGAAACGAAUAUUUGUGCGGCUUUCAUUUUCUGACUGGUGGCCUAUGAUAAGUCUGUAGCUUUCUAUAAAUGUGCAUUUAAGUGGGCUGGCUGCACGGGUGCAGUCAGAAUUCAACUCCUCCACCAGACAGACCGAGAUCCAGCGCUUUAGGUGGAAUCACUACAUGGAAGCCCUGUAGCUUAUCCUACUAGUGUCUCUCUGUUGUCUUUGAUGCUAAUGUCUCGCUGUAAUUUCUGAUAAUGGACACCAAUGGUCAUAUUUAACCUGAAGGCUACUUGAUCUGUGGAUCUGCUGGUCUACUGAUCUUGUCAAAAUAAUUUGGGGUGCAGGGGGGAACUUACAUAAAUUACCAUUUCUAUCCACAUUGAACUGUGGUGUAGUGGUCUCAAAUAGUGUGAAACAAAAUUUGAGGCUGAGAGAGAAACUGCCAUGCCAUUAAAUUUCUUGGUCGACGGGCUUCUCCAUGUUGCAUCCGACUGCUCCAGUGUGACAGUUUGUCCUGAGUGACUGAUGAUGCAUACAUCGCAUCACCCAUGGAGGGAGGGUUACAGUCAGCUUCACCUACUUCAUCUAUUGGCUUCAUGCAGUUUGGCAAAUUGACGAAUGAGUUUUCAAUAAUGAGAUGGGCCGAUACAUAGGCCCAUUCAAAUGCGCUGCUCCAAACUGAUGAGAAAGAAAAAUGGUUAAUGAAAUGUUGCAAUGAUAGCACAGUGUUAAAAAUACUCAGUGAAAACAUGAGAACACGUCUGUCCUGUACGUCACCAUAUUUAAAAGCUGAAACAAGUUCCAUGUUCUCUGAACUCAUUUUGGCUUAACAAAUAUGAUUACAAAUAGAAUUCAUUGAGUAUAUUCAGUAUUGUGUGUAUAAAUCCUACAGUACAUGUACUCUGUGUGCAUAGGUUGUGUAUACAUAUGUGUUUGUGUGUGUGUGUGUGAGGAACAACUAAAUGGAAGGAAUACUAUCAAUGUGAUGUAGGCAUGAUAUGACCCUUCUAUUGAUAGGGUACAUAUAAGAAUAAGGUCAAACAUUGAAUUAUUUUCUUUUUAUUUUAGAAGGCAUUUGUCAUCAAUAAUAACUAUCUUUGUUAGAGCUUUUGUUACAUCCAUUGUCCUGGUACAUUGUGCUGCGUAACAUUUGCUAAAGGCAGGAAAAAAAUAAAUAACUUGCCAAUCUGUGCUGUCUGGAGCUGCUAUCUGCCUUCUAUUCUCUGUUUUUUGUGCUUUAACAAUCCUAUUUCCUGACAUUUUGGCAAAUAUGAACAUAGCUUUCAUAUGUUAAAAUGCACAAUGCUUCUGUGUACUAGACAGAUAAAAAAAACACAGAAAAUACAAACAAAACUUGUCCUUUCUCCAGCCUUCAGCAGAUUGGUUUUUAUUUGUGUCUCUGAUUUAUCCCCAGGGAGAUCGGCGCAUCACAAAUAGAAUUGGUGCCGCGGUGCACCGCUGCGUUCGGCUGGCCACCGAGGGCAGGUGAAUGCAUUACAUCAAAUGGAGGCGACCUUUGACCCCUGAGCCAGGUUUUAAUGUACUCUCUAUCAUAGGGCUGGGGACGCGGCGCAGUCCGAUCGCGGGUUAAACGGAUGCGGCAGAACAUCGUGGGUCUGAGACGACACUUUGGCCCCCUCCCGCGGGCUUGGAAUCCAGCGUGGCUGUGAAUAGAAGCGCCGCCAUUUCUUAUCCCUGGAGCCAGGCGUCCUCCAUCCUGACACGAGGUGUUUGAUUUUAGACUCCAGCCUUGACCUUUCACCUCUGCCUGGUUUUCCUCUGUCCCCAUUAUGCGCGAUAGCCUGUGGCGGCUAGGAGGAAGCUGCCUUCUUUGAUCCGAAGCCCACAAAGAUUAAAUAAAGAGUGACAGGGUGCUCCAAACUAAAAUACGAAGAAGGUAGGAGGAGGAAGAAGAAGAAGAAGAAGAAGGCAUAAAUGCCCGCUCUGAAUGAGACGUUCAGCUAUACAGCAUAACGCAACUGGCACCCAAGGUUCAGUGGUCACUUCCAGCAGACACAGGAUGGAAACCUGCUUUGACCUCAAAGAUAGAGGCUCAAGUCUGCCUGGCAGCCUUGAAUGCUGCUUCCUGCCCCAGCAACUUUUCUCACUCUGGCUAUUGGUGGGCUGUCAGGAUCACAUGACCAGGUGCAGGCCAAUCCUAUAAAUGAUGAAUCACACAAGGGCACCACAAUGACACACAGAUACGUGGAGGGAUACAAAUCACUGAGGUUGGUGACAAAUCUUUUGCUGAAUAUAAACAAUCCUGCCACAUUCAGUGAUCCUGUAACCCACGCAAUGUAGUGGCAAACACAUGAAACUGUGAAUAGUAUAAGCAA